UACGUAGGUGGCAAGCGUUGUCCGGAUUUAUUGGGUUUAAAGGGUGCGUAGGCGGUCCUAUAAGUCAGUUGUGAAAUACGGCAGCUUAACUGUCGAGGUGCAAUUGAUACUGCAGGACUUGAGUACAGACGAGGUAGGCGGAAUUGACGGUGUAGCGGUGAAAUGCUUAGAUAUCGUCAAGAACACCGAUAGCGGAGGCAGCUUACUAGACUGUAACUGACGCUGAUGCACGAAAGUGUGGGGAUCAAACAGG
rnacentral:rRNA from 1 species